AUAACGCUCGAAUAGGAUAUCGAAGAAAGUACGGGGAGUGAGCACAGAAUUCUUCACCGCUUGUUCCAGUAUAUCAUGCGUUUCGCGGAACGUCGUUCUCAAUGCAGUUAUUCCGCGUCUUGAAGAAGCAGCGGCAUCUUUAUCGGGCUCCAGUGGAUCCAAGGUGCAUCGUAGAAAUGGAUUAUACAAGCCGGUUAAGGUGCUUCCGAAGUGUUCCACUCCAACGACGGGGAAUUCUGAAGUAAUAAUAAUCGUGAUUCGCUGGAUGGCAUCGUGUCGCCUGGAGACUCCUUCCUUCGGCGUGAAGAGCGGCAUAAAAAGUUCUAUUUCUUCGUGCAGACCCAUCAUGCCGGCACUGUGCCAUAGAAAUGAUAGAAUCGAUGCAGUACAGCCAGUAUUAUUAUUGACUUGGUCUUCGUUGCCUGAUUGUUAAUGAUAUGAGUACAAACUUAGCUUAAGUAAUGUACUUCAUAACUAAGUAGUUUUGCUAAUAUCGAUGAGCUCACAGCGACAUGCGACAGGUUAAUGCUAUCGUUGGUACUGAUAGUAGGAAUGGGCACACAAGUUUGAUAUUUUCCCAUGCUGCAUUUAUACCUUGCCAGAACGAGAUCAGCCUGCAGAUAGCUUCUGUUGGAAUUUCGGAUGAUUAGAUAUUGAAACAUAACCAAAGAAUCUAUUUGCCCAGCAGUUAUAUACAAGUACUCCGGCUAAAGGUCGGGAAGGUUUUUUCUGAUUGACUGCUACAAAAACGGAUGGUACUGUGGGUGCAGUUUUGUUUUAUAAUAAUUUUAUUAUAGUUGUGCUCCCGCUAUUCUAGGCUUCCUGGUACUGGCUUUGAUCACGAAAAAAUGGUUUGGCUGUCGCAAGCAGCAGUUGUUAAAUCUUUGAGCUUGUCGUUGCCCUGUUCAAAAACAGAAAUACAAAUUCUCAUUAAGACGUAAUAGAACGAUACAGAAAAUACUUUUUAUGUAAAUAAGCUAAUUUUAAUGCACUGUUGCAAGUUACAGUGCAGCAAUUGCAGCGUUGUUACGCGUACGACAGAUCACCAAGCAUGCAGAAGCAAAUGCUACAUUAUAUGUACCGAUGGACAAGGACAAAACAACAUUGACGAACUUGCUCAGCCAUGCAGAGCGUGACCUGGGAUGAUUUUGGGAUGAUAAGCAAGAAACCAUACCUGACGAAAGACCACGUGUAUAAAAAGCCUGAACAUGGCGAACACGACGCACUGGCACCUUAACAAAUAAAGCUCUAGUCCACCGAAGAGAAUGAAGAGAGACGACAGCAGCCGCGGUUGGUCAUUUUUAAGAGUGAAAUGGACCAUUUCGUUGACAGCUCCUAUCCGCACUCGGAACGUGCGUCACAGUCACACCAACUGGGUUGGCAAGUUAACCUGAACCCAAUGACGUCUGACAGCCAAAAAGCGAAGUCUUAUGGCUGAUCCUGAGACUGUAUGGAAAGUCAACGAAGUGUUAUUCCAGCAAUUCUUCCGCUCGCAUCGUUUCCACGUGCUUUUCCACGUUCCACGUGCGUUCAUGCUUUUCCACGUGGUGAUGUGCCUAGCUACCGACCGCGAAUCAAAUGUGACCCCGGCCGCUUUAUCGAACUCUUUCCACAACCGGAACUUCGUUAUCCACCCAUUUCACAAAAGUUAAACGGAUGACAUAUCGGCUAAACGCCCGAAGGGAAGCCUGUGCCUCGAGAAAAAUUGCCAGACGUUAAGGAAAAAUAUUUGAAAACGCCAGGAAAAGAUGCAAAAGAUUUGAAACCACAAGCAAAGAUCAGAAUAAACCGAAAAAAUCUGCCCGCACCUGCUAAUUACUACUUACUUAAUGCUUGAAAAUACGAGUGUUUCCUCUUUUUAAACGUGCAGUUUAGAGAUACACAAUGCAACAGCUUCAACUGUAAUAAUUCGAGAAAAAUCGUCAAUAUUUCCGUAGAAAACUGCAAACAAGAUG